UACGUAGGGUGCGAGCGUUGUCCGGAAUUAUUGGGCGUAAAGAGCUCGUAGGCGGUUUGUCGCGUCGGCUGUGAAAACUGGAGGCUUAACCUUCAGCUUGCAGUCGAUACGGGCAGACUUGAGUUCGGUAGGGGAGACUGGAAUUCCUGGUGUAGCGGUGAAAUGCGCAGAUAUCAGGAGGAACACCGGUGGCGAAGGCGGGUCUCUGGGCCGAUACUGACGCUGAGGAGCGAAAGCGUGGGGAGCGAACAGG
rnacentral:rRNA from 1 species